ACGCAAUAGAUACCCUGGUAGUCCACGCCGUAAACGUUGGGCACUAGGUGUGGGUCUCAACCAACGGGAUCUGUGCCGUAGCUAAACGCAUUAAGUGCCCCGCCUGGGGAGUACGGCCGCAAGGCUAAAACUCAAAGGAAUUGACGGGGGCCCGCACAAGCGGCGGAGCAUGUUGCUUAAUUCGAGGCAACGCGAAGAACCUUACCUGGGCUUGACAUGUAGGGAAAAGCCGUAGAGAUACGGUGUCCUCGGGUCCGUACACAGUGGUGCAUGCGUGUCGUCAGCUCGUGUCGUGAGAUGUU
rnacentral:rRNA from 1 species